UUAAGUUUGGUGAUUAAAACUUAAUAAGAGUGAAAAAGGUGUCAAAAGCCAAUUUGGACUUUUCUUCUUAUGAAACAUUUAUAUAAAAAAAAAUAAAAAAAAAAUAAAAAAAUUUAAUGAUCACAUAUAUGGCAAAGGGUGGCCGACCAUGUGCUAUUUUAGAGUGGUGUGAACCCAAUUUUAUAAAGUUUAACUCCCAUUUAAUUAAGAAGUCAAGUGGGCAAGUGGGUAGAAAAGCACUCAAGUGUUUUGUGAUAUUUUGAAGAGUUGUGUGAGCCAUUCUAACCCCCAAAUCCGACCACUCUCCCUCCCUCAUUCACUCUCAUCUGAUUUUUGAAGACUCUCUCAAGUGUUCUCUCCAUUUUCAACCCCAAGAACACCAAAGAAACUUGGAAGCUAAGUCUUGGUCUAGGAAGGGUUUUCCCUAAGGUAAAGUUUCAUUAAUCUAGACUUUUGUCAAGUUUUAAUCAUAGAGUUUCAAAUAGCUAAUUACCUAUGUUGUUGGAGGAAGUUGGUUAGGGUUUUUGAAAGGUUUUGGAGGAGCCAAAGCUAAUAGGAAGGUCCAAACCUUAAGCAAGAACACCAAAGAGUAUUGGCUAAGCAUAACUGGACUGAACGUUGGAGGGUGAAAACCUGCUGAGCGCUAAGGACUCCAAGUAAGAGCAAGGGCAAGGCAGAGCAGUGAGCGCUGGAGUCUUCCUUGCAAAUGUACAUGUGGACCGACCUUUUGGGAAGCCGUUUUAUUUUUGGAAAUGUUGUGUAAUUUUCCUAAACUAGGCUCACUCUACUCUUUAUAAAGCAUGUUUGUAACUAAAUGUUAAGUAUGGCCAUACGACUUUUUUUAAAGUAUUUUUUUCUAUGGGUUUUUGAGACAUUUUGUUAAAUGAAAACAUUUAUAUUUCCGCAUUAUCGAGUCUUGAAAAUCCGGGUCGUAACACAAGUGUCAUCAACUAAAUAAAAGAGUUGAGAGGCAUAGCAUGCCAUCAACCAUAAAGAAAAUAAAGCAACAACUGGGAGACAGAAAUUGCCAUCAACUAGUAAAUGUCCACAAAAAUAUAACCAACAAAAAUAAAUAAAGUAAAUUACAACAAAUGUUAGAAGGCACAAGUGUCGUCAACUAAAAAAAAAAGCAAAAGUAUAAAUAUA